rnacentral:rRNA from 1 species
GGAUGAACGCUGGCGGCGUGCCUAAUACAUGCAAGUCGAGCGAACAGAUGAGGAGCUUGCUCCUCUGACGUUAGCGGCGGACGGGUGAGUAACACGUGGAUAACCUACCUAUAAGACUGGGAUAACUUCGGGAAACCGGAGCUAAUACCGGAUAAUAUAUUGAACCGCAUGGUUCAAUAGUGAAAGACGGUUUUGCUGUCACUUAUAGAUGGAUCCGCGCCGCAUUAGCUAGUUGGUAAGGUAACGGCUUACCAAGGCAACGAUGCGUAGCCGACCUGAGAGGGUGAUCGGCCACACUGGAACUGAGACACGGUCCAGACUCCUACGGGAGGCAGCAGUAGGGAAUCUUCCGCAAUGGGCGAAAGCCUGACGGAGCAACGCCGCGUGAGUGAUGAAGGUCUUCGGAUCGUAAAACUCUGUUAUUAGGGAAGAACAAAUGUGUAAGUAACUAUGCACGCCUUGACGGUACCUAAUCAGAAAGCCACGGCUAACUACGUG